rnacentral:rRNA from 1 species
AGAGUUUGAUCCUGGCUCAGAAUCAACGCUGGCGGCGUGCCUCAGACAUGCAAGUCGAACGAUUAAGACUUCCUUCGGGAAGUGUAUAAAGUGGCGCACGGGUGAGUAACACGUAAGUAAUCUACCCUCGAGUGGGGAAUAACGUUCGGAAACGGACACUAAUACCGCAUAACGCAGCGGCACCGCAAGGUGACAGUUGUUAAAGGAGUAAUUCGCUUGAGGAGGAGCUUGCGGCAGAUUAGCUAGUUGGUAAGGUAACGGCUUACCAAGGCUACGAUCUGUAUCCGGCCUGAGAGGGCGGUCGGACACACUGACACUGAAUAACGGGUCAGACUCCUACGGGAGGCAGCAGUCGGGAAUUUUGGGCAAUGGGCGAAAGCCUGACCCAGCAACGCCGCGUGAAGGAUGAAGUAUUUCGGUAUGUAAACUUCGAAAGAAUGGGAAGAAUAAAUGACGGUACCAUUUAUAAGCUCCGGCUAACUACGUGCCAGCAGCCGCCGCAGUAAC